rnacentral:rRNA from 1 species
UACGGAGGGUGCGAGCGUUGUCCGGAAUCACUGGGCGUAAAGGGCGCGUAGGCGGCCUGAUAAGUAGGGGGUGAAAUCCUGCGGCUUAACCGCAGGGCUGCCUUCUAAACUGUCGGGCUAGAGCACGGUAGAGGCAGAUGGAAUUCCCGGUGUAGCGGUGGAAUGCGUAGAGAUCGAGAAGAACAUCAGUGGCGAAGGCGGUCUGCUGGGCCGUUGCUGACACUGAGGCGCGACAGCGUGGGGAGCAAACAGG